AUUGAACGCUGGCGGCAUGCCUUACACAUGCAAGUCGAACGGUAACAGGUCUUCGGAUGCUGACGAGUGGCGAACGGGUGAGUAAUACAUCGGAACGUGCCUAGUAGUGGGGGAUAACUACUCGAAAGAGUGGCUAAUACCGCAUGAGAUCUACGGAUGAAAGCAGGGGAUCGCAAGACCUUGUGCUACUAGAGCGGCCGAUGGCAGAUUAGGUAGUUGGUGGGAUAAAAGCUUACCAAGCCGACGAUCUGUAGCUGGUCUGAGAGGACGAUCAGCAACACUGGGACUGAGACACGGCCCAGACUCCUACGGGAGGCAGCAGUGGGGAAUUUUGGACAAUGGGCGCAAGCCUGAUCCAGCAAGGCCGCGUGCAGGAUGAAGGCCUUCGGGUUGUAAACUGCUUUUGUACGGAACGAAAAGCCCUGGGUUAAUACCCUGGGGUCAUGACGGUACCGUAAGAAUAAGCACCGGCUAACUACGUGCCAGCAGCCGCGGUAA
rnacentral:rRNA from 1 species